UAGCCGACGCGCAGCCCGUGCGGGUUCGAUGGCGUCCGGCAGUCGUGCUGGGCCUCCUUGCGCAGUACCCGAUCGACCUCGACCGAGGAGAAGAAGGCGACCGACUGGGGCAGAUCGCGAAAUCCGACACUGAAAAAAAUGGGCCUAGGAGUGUAUCUUUUACAACAUUUGCCUGAUAAAAUUGGUUUGCCAUCAUCAACAGCAACAUCAUCAAUCAAUGUCUUGUUUGCAGCGUGUAAUUGUCUCAAUGGAGUGCAGUGCAAGAGCUAUUAGGUCCUCAGAGGACUCUUUGUAAUAAAUAGCGUGAUUAGGGUUUUACAGACUUUUCCAGUAGUUCUCAUAGCUGUGGAACAGUUUAUUGACUCUUUCUUACGUGAAAUUAACUAAAUGUAAUGGGACUCUACAGAACCCUUGAUGGACAAAUCCAACAGGAAUUUCCAAGGCGCCUGUCCAAAAAAGGUGCCAGAGAGUCCAAUUUCCAACAUAUAGUUCACUUUCUUCUAAGAAAGAGUCAAUGAAGUGCCCCGCGGCUAUGAGAACCCUUGGAAAACCCUGUGUGCCCCGUUUUAUGUACCCCAACCAAUUAGACAACCAUCUGUAGUUACUACUAGGAACUCCCCAGCUAUCAGUUAGCAGAAAUUCCCAACACUGAAGACGGUAAUGUAAAUUAAUGCACAUUAAAAAGAUCUUUUUCGGAAUCAAUUUGAGUUGAAAUGAACGUCCAAUGCCCGGCAGAGUUCCACGAAUAAAUUCCGGAUCUGAAAUAAAUGGCAAGGCGGUUCUAAGAAGUGCAAAACUCCGGCAUUUCGGGCAGCAAAGAGUCGCAUGCGCAAAGAUCCCUGUGCUAUGCAGAUGGGACACGGUGCGACAUCAUACAGCAGCGUGCAGGUGCUAUCAGAAAUGUUUAAAAAGCUUUAUCUGUUUACAAUGUCCACUUAAUUUGUUUAAAUUAUGCUUGGCGAGAAUUACUUUGGCGUCGGGUUUGACAUUGCUAAGGAAAGAUAGGUUUGCUUAGGAAUUAAAUAAUUAAAUAAAUAAGCAGUUUUAUGGAUCAUCUGCCAGUAAAUUCGUUAUCGUGUGCAUUCGUUGCAAUCUUGUGCGCGUAAUUUAAAAUUGUCUUUCAAUUCCAGUUGGCUGAUUCGACCUGCACGUCCCAAAUGGUUUAACGCCAAACUAAGUGCGAAAUUUAAUUAAAAAUAAACUGAAAUAAAUUACAUUUAAUUGCUAUAAGAAA